AUUCCUACGGGAGGCAGCAGUAGGGAAUAUUGCGCAAUGGACGGAAGUCUGACGCAGCGACGCCGCGUGGAGGAAUAAGGUCUUCGGAUUGUAAACUCCUGUUAAGUGGGAAGAAAUGCUGGAGGUUAAUAGCCUUCAGAGCUGACGGUACCACUAGAGAAAGUCCCGGCUAACUUCGUGCCAGCAGCCGCGGUAAUAAU
rnacentral:rRNA from 1 species